rnacentral:tRNA from 1 species
UCCCUAAUAGCUCUGUUGAUAAAGAAUCUGCCUGCAAUGCAGGAGACCCUGGUUCAAUUCCUGGGUUGGGAA